rnacentral:piRNA from 1 species
UACAAUAUUGACUUGUUAUCUGGGUGUGA